rfam:Ovis aries breed Texel chromosome 2, whole genome shotgun sequence.
UUCCUGGUGGUCCAGUGGUUAAGACUCUGAGCUUCCAAUUUCAGGGGGCCCAGAUUCUACCCCUGGUCAAGAAA